rnacentral:rRNA from 1 species
GCACGGGUGAGUAACACGUAUCCAACCUGCCGAUAACUCCGGAAUAGCCUUUCGAAAGAAAGAUUAAUACCGGAUAGCAUACGAAUAUCGCAUGAUAUUUUUAUUAAAGAAUUUCGGUUAUCGAUGGGGAUGCGUUCCAUUAGUUUGUUGGCGGGGUAACGGCCCACCAAGACUACGAUGGAUAGGGGUUCUGAGAGGAAGGUCCCCCACAUUGGAACUGAGACACGGUCCAAACUCCUACGGGAGGCAGCAGUGAGGAAUAUUGGUCAAUGGGCGAGAGCCUGAACCAGCCAAGUAGCGUGAAGGAUGAAGGCUCUAUGGGUCGUAAACUUCUUUUAUAUGGGAAUAAAGUUUUCCACGUGUGGAAUUUUGUAUGUACCAUAUGAAUAAGGAUCGGCUAACUCCGUGCCAGCAGCCGCGGUAAUACGGAGGAUCCGAGCGUUAUCCGGAUUUAUUGGGUUUAAAGGGAGCGUAGGUGGAUUGUUAAGUCAGUUGUGAAAGUUUGCGGCUCAACCGUAAAAUUGCAGUUGAAACUGGCAGUCUUGAGUACAGUAGAGGUGGGCGGAAUUCGUGGUGUAGCGGUGAAAUGCUUAGAUAUCACGAAGAACUCCGAUUGCGAAGGCAGCUCACUAGACUGUUACUGACACUGAUGCUCGAA